rnacentral:lncRNA from 10 species
GUUUUUUUGUAAUUGAAAAAAUAAAGAAAAAAGAGUUUUCUAAUAAAUGGAGGGAGAGAGAGGUUAAAUACUUUAAUUACUAACUUGCAAAAAGAUUUCCAUUUGAAUAUGGAAACAAUGUAAAGGGGUCCCUAAUUUUUGUGGGACUGGAAUCACUCCAGAGGAUUUAAUGAUACUGCUGGGCAACUGAAACUGUGCAACUGAAUAAUGUGAUUUCUAAGCAUAUUUCCUUAAAAUUUAAGUGCUAGGGAACAUUUAAAAAUGGUUACUUUAAAAGGAAGGUUGAACAUGCAAAUUUGUAGGGGAGAGGAAUUAAAACAGUGAUUUCUUUCAAUGAUACAUUUUUCAUUUUCUAUUUUAAAACGAAAACCAGUUACUUUUGAGUCAACAGGCAUGUGACAGAAAGUGCUACAUAGAAAGAAUUUUCCCAUCAAGGACUGCUGGAUGUUAACUGAAGAGCUCAGGCACUGCGUGGGCUUUGGUGAUGUUACAUAGGCCAAUUUUUAUUCCCAUCUCUGUCAAUGGCUAUGAGGUAUUGGACAAAAUACUUAGUAUCUUUUUGCCUUAAUAUUCCAAUCUGUCAAAUGGGAAUAACCCACAGACUGUCUCUCUCUUUCUCUCUCUCUCUCUCUCUCUCUCUCUCUCUCACACACACACACACACACACACACACACACACAGUGCUUAGUAAAUGCUCAACAAAUAGCGGUUACUAUUCACCGUUAGUAAGAAGUUCCUAAGACAACUACUAACAGUAAGCUAAUGGGAUAUUUCAAAUACUCUGACAGGAAAUGGAGCCAUAACCCCAACUAAGUGUUCAAAUGGAAUAAAAUACUCCAAAUCUCCUGGAAAAAUAUUAAUGGCACAUCUUCCAAGGCAAUGCUUAAUAGUUCACAUUAUAUGCAACUAAUGUACCUCCAGUGAGUAC